rnacentral:lncRNA from 1 species
CGAGAACCUAAGGCAUAAGGACCAAGGGAAUUUGCGCAACCUCCUCUUCACGAACCUGCACGAAUGAUACAAGUUCCCCGGUGACGUCGCAAACACACGCCUCUCAAGUAAUAAAGUGAACAGUGCCUGUCUACUUGGAGAAGCGCGGUGAAGAGAAUGAUUGACAAAGGUGAUAGUUAUGAGAAGAUCAAGGCGAAAAAUCCUUCGAUCAGUGAAGAUGGCUACAAGGAGUUCAAGAUCAAGUGCGAGAGCAAGGCAACCGCGGAAUCAAGUCAGUGGGG